AUCCAGCUGACGAGUCUAAAAUAGGAUGAAACGAGUGUUCUGGUU
rnacentral:hammerhead_ribozyme from 1 species